AUUGAACGCUGGCGGCAGGCCUAACACAUGCAAGUCGAGCGGCUCGGCUGACGGGUGAGUAAUGCCUAGGAAUCUGCCUGGCAUUGGUGGAUAACGUCCGGAAACGGGCGCUAAUCCCGUAUACUAUCAGAUGAGCCUAGGUCGGGUUAGCUAGUUGGUGGGGUAAAGGCCUACCAAGGCGACGAUCCGUAACUGGUCGGAGAGGAUGAUCAGUCAAACGGGAAGUGGGACACGGUCCAGACUCCUACGGGAGGGAGCAGAGGGGAAUAGUGGACAAUGGGCGAAAGCAUGAUACAGCCAUGCGGCGUGUGUGAAGAAGGUCUUCGGAUUGUAAAGCACUUUAAGUUGGGAGGCGUUACCCGCAGAAGAAGCACCGGCUAACUCCGUGCCAGCAGCCGCGGUAAUAC
rnacentral:rRNA from 1 species